CUCAGGCCAAAAGCGCAGAAGAACAAAAAUGACCGGAAAAUCUGACAGGACUGAGAUGAUGACAACAGCACAGCGGGGUUUUAGAAGCCCGUCAGAGUGAUUUUCUGAGUUCUUUCACAUGCUGUAUGGUCAGCGAAUGGAUGGAUUAUCCAGUCAAGGUACAGAAUGAAAGACUUGACUGAGUUAGAAGAAGCUGGGCGACUCUUCAGAGUGAAGAUGUUAUGAUGCAGUUAUGUCAAAGCACUCGUUUCGGCUGGCCAGAUUGGAACAGACCUGAAUGGGAAGAUGGCAGAGCUAAGACUGACAAUGUCCAGGAAAAAUGUUAACUAAAAAUGAGUGUUUUUCCUCAGCGAGUGAGUUUGGGAAUGUUUUAAAUGUGCCUAAAAGUUUGAAAAUGUAAUACCGAGGGAAAAAAGUGAGCGCUUUGAAAAGGCUUUAAAAAGAAAAUAAAGUCUGAAGUUGAUGGUAAAUGAAUUUAAAGUUUUUACUUGAAAAGUUUGUACUUGUUUGUACUUGUCAAGUCUGUGCUGAAAAAAAUGGAGUAAAGUUUGUAUUUGAAAAGA